UAGUUUCAUGUUUUGGAUUUGCAUGAGCGUGAAUUAGUGAAAACCUGUAUCCCAUUGUCUCUGACUAAUUCUGGUUAUAUCUUGCAGCUCAGGCUUCUGUUUGCUGGAGAGAUUCUUCUUUCUGCAUUGACGCCUUCUUCUGUGUUGUUCUUCACACUAUUACUUCUGACUCAUAGACUAAAUGUCUAUGAGAACCUGGAAAGACCAGAUGAGUGUGAGAAGACCCUGCUGUCCUACCAUGGGAAGCUAGAAGGAGAAGCUGCCUGGCUUUGACUUUUUGGAGCAAACUCAUUCCCUCGUCCUGGAGUUUGAGGUCAUGGUGUUGCAGCUUGGAGGAAGUCUGGCUGGGAGAUGGGGAUGUUGACAGCACAAGACAUUUAAGCGUCAGAUGACAGUUUCUUGAUCCUGAACCCAG
rnacentral:lncRNA from 1 species